rnacentral:rRNA from 1 species
UACGUAGGGUGCAAGCGUUGUCCGGAAUUAUUGGGCGUAAAGAGCUCGCAGGCGGUCUGUCGCGUCGGCUGUGAAAACUCGGGGCUCAACCCCGAGCCUGCAGUCGAUACGGGCAGACUAGAGUGCUGUAGGGGAGACUGGAAUUCCUGGUGUAGCGGUGAAAUUCGUAGAUAUUGGGAAGAACACCGGUGGCGAAGGCGGCGACCUGGUCCGAUACUGACGCUGAGGCGCGAAAGCGUGGGGAGCAAACAGG